GUGGCGCAGCCUGGUAGCGCACUUGUUUUGGGUACAAGGGGUCGCUGGUUCGAAUCCAGUC
rnacentral:tRNA from 1 species